rnacentral:lncRNA from 1 species
UCUUAUCACACAUGUGGCCUCCAAGUUAAGAGCUGGCCAAUUUUGAGGGUCACUGUGACCUUGAAUGCUAAGGAGCAGUAACCAUGGUGGCCUGUGGGUUGGAGGCUGUUCUCCAUUUUUCUGACACCACGUGAGCCUCCCUGAUCUGGUGUGAUUUAAGGAAGAUAAGGAACUGGGAUUCAGAGCAAUCUGACCAGCCUGGACAAGAAAGGAAACUUGGGGAAAUUCUGAUGAAAGUCCUUUGGGCUGACAGAAAGCUCGGGAUCUUGGUGAAGACCUGCGAGGGUUCCAUUUUUCAUCCAAAGGAGACCAUGCCCUGGGCAGCAUUGUUACACAGGAGGAGCCCCCAGAGUCUCCUGUACGCAGAGGAAGGGAGGACUGUGCUGGGCUCCAUGUGGUCCUGCUCUCCCCAUCCCCCCGAGGUGAGUGGUCUCUGUUUGGGUCUGUGUGGGAGAUCAGGGGCAGUACUGGGGUCCAGCCCUGGCCUCGAGUGUUCUCCCAGCUUGACCCUGGCCUAGCCCCUGCCCACUGAGCUUCUGUGAGGCUGCACCUCUGGAGCUGCUGCCUGGCUUUGCGCAGGCCGUGCUGUCACACAGGUGUGAGCUUGAACUUGGCUCACUAGGGCUAAUCCCCGGCUUGGGGAUGCAGAGCCUGGGAGAAAUGGCCACCAUUUUCUUCACACAAAGGCGUAGUUUAAUACCCAGUAGCCACAUGGUGAGAGUCCUGAGGGGGUGCCUGUCCAUACUUACAGCUGUCAGUGGGGGCGGCUUUUUCUGAGGCUCUGUAUUACUUUCCUAUGGCCACUGCAACACAUUCUCACCAACUUGAUGUCUCUAAAGGGUGGAAAUGUAUUUCCUCACAGUUCUGGAGGCUAGAAAUCCAACAUAAGUUUCCCAGGGAAUCUGUUUCUUUCCUCUUCCAGCUUCAGGAACUGCAUUUCUUGGGUCACAGCCCC